UGGGGUAUAGCCAAGUGGUAAGGCAACGGACUUUGACUCCGUCAUUCCUAGGUUCGAAUCCUAGUACCCCAGCCA
rnacentral:tRNA from 1 species